GUACACUCCUACGGGAGGCAGCAGUGGGGAAUAUUGGACAAUGGGCGCAAGCCUGAUACAGCCAUGCCGCGUGAGUGAUGAAGGCCCUAGGGUUGUAAAGCUCUUUCACCGGUGAAGAUAAUGACGGUAACCGGAGAAGAAGCCCCGGCUAACUUCGUGCCAGCAGCCGCGGUAAUACGAAGGGGGCUAGCGUUGUUCGGAUUUACUGGGCGUAAAGCGCACGUAGGCGGACUAUUAAGUCAGGGGUGAAAUCCCGGGGCUCAACCCCGGAACUGCCUUUGAUACUGGUAGUCUUGAGUUCGAGAGAGGUGAGUGGAAUUCCGAGUGUAGAGGUGAAAUUCGUAGAUAUUCGGAGGAACACCAGUGGCGAAGGCGGCUCACUGGCUCGAUACUGACGCUGAGGUGCGAAAGCGUGGGUAGCAAACAGGAUGAGAUACCCCAGUAGUCCCAUGAU
rnacentral:rRNA from 1 species